rnacentral:rRNA from 1 species
GAUAAACGCUGGCGGCGCACAUAAGACAUGCAAGUCGAACGGACUUAACUCGAAGUUUACUUUGAGAGCGGUUAGUGGCGGACUGGUGAGUAAUACAUAAGCAACCUGCCCCUGUGAGGGGGAUAACUGCUGGAAACGGCAGCUAAGACCGCAUAGGCAUACAUGACGCACGUCGAGUAUGUUAAAUAUCCUACGGGAUAGCACAGGGAUGGGCUUAUGACGCAUUAGCUAGCUGGUGAGGUAGAGGCUCACCAGGGCGACGAUGCGUAGCCGGCCUGAGAGGGUGGACGGCCACACUGGGACUGAGACACGGCCCAG